AUACGUAGGGGGCAAGCGUCAUCCGGAUUUACUGGGUGUAAAGGGAGCGUAGACGGCGAUGCAAGUCUGAAGUGAAAACCCGGGGCUCAACCCCGCGGACUGCUUUGGAAACUGUGUUGCUGGAGUGCAGGAGAGGUGAGUGGAAUUCCUAGUGUAGCGGUGAAAUGUGUAGAUAUUAGGAGGAACACCAGGGGCGAAGGCGGCUCACUGGACUGUAACUGACGUUGAGGCUCGAAAGCGUGGGGAGCAAACAGGAUUAGAUACCCGGGUAGUCCACGCCGUAAACGAUGAAUGCUAGGUGUCGGGGGGCAAAGCCCUUCGGUGCCGCCGCUAACGCAUUAAGCAUUCCACCUGGGGAGUACGUUCGCAAGAAUGAAACUCAAAUGAAUUGACGGGG
rnacentral:rRNA from 1 species